UACGUAGGGGGCAAGCGUUGUCCGGAAUCAUUGGGCGUAAAGAGCGCGUAGGCGGCCCGGUAAGUCCGUUGUGAAAGUCAAAGGCUCAACCUUUGAACGCCGAUGGAUACUGCCGGGCUAGAGUCCGGAAGAGGCGAGUGGAAUUCCUGGUGUAGCGGUGGAAUGCGCAGAUAUCAGGAGGAACACCAAUAGCGAAGGCAGCUCGCUGGGACGGUACUGACGCUGAGGCGCGAAAGCGUGGGGAGCGAACAGG
rnacentral:rRNA from 1 species